rnacentral:rRNA from 1 species
AUUGAACGCUGGCGGAAUGCUUUACACAUGCAAGUCGAACGGUAGAGGGGGCAACCCCUCGAGAGUGGCGAACGGGUGAGUAAUAUAUCGGAACGUGCCCAGUCGUGGGGGAUAACGUAGCGAAAGUUACGCUAAUACCGCAUACGAUCUAAGGAUGAAAGCGGGGGAUCGCAAGACCUCGCGCGAUUGGAGCGGCCGAUAUCAGAUUAGGUAGUUGGUGGGGUAAAGGCUCACCAAGCCAACGAUCUGUAGCUGGUCUGAGAGGAUGACCAGCCACACUGGAGCGGAGACACGGUCCAGACUCCUACGGGAGGCAGCAGUGGGGAAUUUUGGACAAUGGACGCAAGUCUGAUCCAGCCAUUCCGCGUGCAGGAUGAAGGCCCUCGGGUUGUAAACUGCUUUUGUACGGAACGAAAAGGUCUCUCUUAAUACGGGGGGCUCAUGACGGUACCGUAAGAAUAAGCACCGGCUAACUACGUGCCAGCCGCCGCCGUAA